GAUGAACGCUGGCGGCGUGCUUAACACAUGCCAGUCGAGCGAGAAGUUUUGAAAAGAUUCUUCGGAUGAAAUUUAAAAUGGAAAGCGGCGGACGGGUGAGUAACGCGUAGGCAACCUGCCCCAUACAAAGGGAUAGCAUUUGGAAACGAAUAUUAAUACCUUAUGAAACUUAACUAGUGCAUGCUAGGUAGGUCAAAGAUUUAUCGGUAUGGGAUGGGCCUGCGUCUGAUUAGCUAGUUGGUGAGGUAACGGCUCACCAAGGCGACGAUCAGUAGCCGACCUGAGAGGGUGAACGGCCACAUUGGAACUGAGACACGGUCCAAACUCCUACGGGAGGCAGCAGUGGGGAAUAUUGCACAAUGGGGGAAACCCUGAUGCAGCAACGCCGCGUGAACGAUGAAGGCCUUUGGGUCGUAAAGUUCUGUUCUAGGUGAUGAAAACUGACAGUAACCUAGGAGAAAGCCCCGGCUAACUCCGUG
rnacentral:rRNA from 1 species